rnacentral:rRNA from 1 species
AUGAGAUUUCCCAGUAUGUAAGACCCCUUGAAGACGACGAGGUAGAUAGGUUGGAGGUGGAAGCACGGUAACGUGUGGAGCUGACCAAUACUAAUCGGUCGAGGGCUUAUCCAAAU